rnacentral:rRNA from 1 species
UACGGAGGGGGCUAGCGUUGUUCGGAAUUACUGGGCGUAAAGCGCACGUAGGCGGCUUUGUAAGUUAGAGGUGAAAGCCCGGGGCUCAACUCCGGAAUUGCCUUUAAGACUGCAUCGCUAGAACGUCGGAGAGGUAAGUGGAAUUCCGAGUGUAGAGGUGAAAUCCGUAGAUAUUCGGAAGAACACCAGUGGCGAAGGCGACUUACUGGACGACCGUUGACGCUGAGGUGGCGAAAAGCGUGGGGAGCAAACAGG